GUCCUUUUGUUUCUAUUUAAGGUCUAACCUGCCCACUGAAAUUAAAUGGCCGCAGUACUCUAACUGUGCAAAGGUAGCAUAAUAAUUAGUCUUUUAAUUGAAGGCUGGAAUGAAUGGUUGGACGAAAUAUUAGCUGUUUCAUUUAAAAUUAUAUUAGAAUUUUAUUUUUUAGUCAAAAAGCUAAAAUUAUUUUAAAAGACGAGAAGACCCUAUAAAUCUUUACAUUUAACAUAUACUUUAAAUAAAGAAUUAUUCUCUAAGUAUAUGAAAAGAUGUUUUAUUGGGGUGAUAUUAAAAUUUGUUAAACUUUUAAAUUUUUAUACAUAAAUAAAUGAAUAAAUGAUCCGUUUAAACGAUUAAUAAUUUAAGUUACUUUAGGGAUAACAGCGUAAUUUUUUUGGAGAGUUCAUAUCGAUAAAAAAGAUUGCGACCUCGAUGUUGGAUUAAGGGAUAAUUUUAG
rnacentral:rRNA from 1 species